rnacentral:rRNA from 1 species
AGUGUAGGCGGCUUCGUAAGUCGGAUGUGAAAUCCCUGGGCUUAACCUGGGAAUGGCAUUCGAUACUGCGCGGCUAGAGUCUGAUAGAGGGAUGUGGAAUUCCAGGUGUAGCGGUGAAAUGCGUAGAGAUCUGGAGGAACACCAGUGGCGAAGGCGGCAUCCUGGAUCAAGACUGACGCUGAGGCUCGAAAGCGUGGGGAGCAAACAGGAUUAGAUACCCUGGUAGUCC